rfam:Stegodyphus mimosarum contig98160, whole genome shotgun sequence.
GCCUUCGUGGUGUAGUUGUCUGCAUGUUCGACGCGUAACCGAGAGGUCCGUGGUUCGAUUCCCGGCGAAGGCG